rnacentral:tRNA from 1 species
GGGAGGAUACCAAAGUGGCCAACUGGGGCAGACUGUAAAUCUGUUGUCGCGAGACUUCGAAGGUUCGAAUCCUUCUCCUCCCA